UUUCCGUAGGUGAACCUGCGGAAGGAUCAUUACUGAGUGAGGGCCCCUCGGGGUCCAACCUCCCACCCGUGUUUAACGAACCUUGUUGCUUCGGCGGGCCCGCCUCACGGCCGCCGGGGGGCAUUUGCCCCCGGGCCCACGCCCGCCGAAGCCACCUGUGAACGCUGUCUGAAGUAUGCAGUCUGAGACAAUUAUUAAAUUAAUUAAAACUUUCAACAACGGAUCUCUUGGUUCCG
rnacentral:misc_RNA from 1 species